rnacentral:rRNA from 1 species
GAUGAACGCUGGCGGCGUGCCUAAUACAUGCAAGUCGAGCGAACAGAUGAGGAGCUUGCUCCUCUGACGUUAGCGGCGGACGGGUGAGUAACACGUGGAUAACCUACCUAUAAGACUGGGAUAACUUCGGGAAACCGGACCUAAUACCGGAUAAUAUAUUGAACCGCAUGGUUCAGUAGUGAAAGACGGUUUUGCUGUCACUUAUAGAUGGAUCCGCGCCGCAUUAGCUAGUUGGUAAGGUAACGGCUUACCAAGGCAACGAUGCGUAGCCGACCUGAGAGGGUGAUCGGCCACACUGGAACUGAGACACGGUCCAGACUCCUACGGGAGGCAGCAGUAGGGAAUCUUCCGCAAUGGGCGAAAGCCUGACGGAGCAACGCCGCGUGAGUGAUGAAGGUCUUCGGAUCGUAAAACUCUGUUAUUAGGGAAGAACAAAUGUGUAAGUAACUAUGCACGUCUUGACGGUACCUAAUCAGAAAGCCACGGCUAACUACGUG